CAUGAAGGUACUUUGUGUGAUUUCUCACAUGUUCAGGGCAGACCCACAGGACUCUUGUGUGCUUUGGAGAUGACACGAGUGUUUGAAAGGCACACAGCUGCACAGCCAGCUGGGGGCUGUCUGUCUGAAAGUAACGGCCUCUUGGUUCUCAGCUCAGAGAGUUCUGUCACAGAGGUGUAGCAGGUGUGAGUGCUGUCGGCACCAGGAUCCUGCUUCCUGUUAGCCACAGACAGAGAGGAGGAACAUCCAGCAAGUGCCUUCAUGCAGAGGUAAAUCACAAAAACGACUUGGGUGUUACCGCACCUUACUAGCUGUGACCCAAUAGAGAGUGACCCACAUGAAGGCCCCAGCACUGCACACAGGUGGGCCAUGCCCAGUUGGAUGGAGGCCAUCCUCACACUGCUGGCCCUUGGACAUGCCUUGGGCUUGGCCCAGGACUGGCAAUUCAGCAUAGAAAGUGACCUGAGUUUCUCAUCAUUCUGCCAAGUUUAACCACCAGUGCAGCAGUGACAAUGGGACUAGGCAGCAACAACACAUUCCCAAAUCUCUUAACAGCCCUAUUUCUGCCAGUGGCAAUAUAAAUGCAGCAGCUGAAGAGGAAGCAAAGUCUUGGCCCUCUGCUCUAGCCAGCACCUUGGAAACGUUAACAAAGAGAACAAAUUGCCACUGUGUUUGCAAAGCUCUGCCAGGCACCUCUCCUUCUCAAUUUUAUUUUCCAUUACCGGAAGUGGAGUUAAAGAAUGAAAGGGAAACACAGAGGGGAAAGAAAUGAGAGUGGAAAUGAUCAUGACAAGAAAUUUUCCCAGCUGCUUAAAUAACCCCUGAAGAGUGAGGCAAGUUCCAUUUUCCUGUGUUAGCUGCCCAGAAAGCUGUGUGCCGAGGCUCUUGAGUUCAGCGUAUGCUGUUACUGGUUCAGGUGUUCCAGAGUGGAGAAAGAAAGUCCGACAUCAUUUGCAUCAGUUUCAGAUGGAAGGUGGAAAAGUCGAAUUUGACCCAAUUUCAGGUCAGGAGAUUUGUAGACAGCAUGGUAGUACAGUGAUAGGGUCUAACCUGCUGUACUGGGAAUCUCUGGAGUAGAUUUAAAAG
ensembl:lncRNA